rnacentral:tRNA from 1 species
GGCGCCUUGGCGUGGGCUUGCAGCAGCGGCUGGCUCCAGGCCUGCCAUGCGGCGUCGUCAGCCAGUUGGGCGAGCGUGGGCGUCCAGGUGUCG